AGUAAAUUGGUGGAACAAUGGAAUUGGUUCAGCCAUAGCCCAGUCCCACAGCAGAGCACUGGGACUGGUGUGGAGCCCUCUCCCUCCAGCCUCUGAGGUACAAUAGGGCUUUCCUUCCUCUCUGCUCUCUGAAGGCUGUGGUAUGGGGCUCCUAACAGUCAAGAAGCAAGGCUUCUCUGUUGCUGUCAGUGAAAGACAGGGUUUUGAAUAGCACAGACAAAAACUGUGAGAAAAGUAAUUCAGGAUGCUCAGUAACUAUUGACAGUGGGAUCGAGUGCACCUUCAGCAAGUUUACCCGUGACACCAAGCUCUGUGGUGUCGUCGGCACGCUGGAGGGAAGGGAUGCCAUCCAGAGGGACCUGGGUAGGCUUGAGAGGUGGGCCUGUGUGAAACUCAUGAGGUUCAACAGGGCCAAGUGCAAGGUCCUGCAGCUGGGCCAGGGCAAUCCCAAGCACAAAUACAGGCUGGGUGGAGAAUGGAUUGCGAGCAGCUCUGAGGAGAAGAACCUGGGGGUGUUGGUUGAUGAGGAGCUCAGCAUGAGCUGGCAAUAUGCACUUACAGACCA